UACGGGGGGGGCAAGCGUUGUUCGGAAUUACUGGGCGUAAAGGGCUCGUAGGUGGCCAACUAAGUCAGACGUGAAAUCCCUCAGCUUAACUGGGGAACUGCGUCUGAUACUGGAUGGCUUGAGUUUGGGAGAGGGAUGCGGAAUUCCAGGUGUAGCGGUGAAAUGCGUAGAUAUCUGGAGGAACACCGGUGGCGAAGGCGGCAUCCUGGACCAACAUUGACACUGAUGAGCGAAAGCCAGGGGAGCAAACGGG
rnacentral:rRNA from 1 species